rnacentral:rRNA from 1 species
AAUAGAUACCCGGGUAGUCCACGCCCUAAACGAUGCGAACUGGAUGUUGGGUACAUUACGGUACUCAGUGUCGAAGCUAACGCGUUAAGUUCGCCGCCUGGGGAGUACGGUCGCAAGACUGAAACUCAAAGGAAUUGACGGGGGCCCGCACAAGCGGUGGAGUAUGUGGUUUAAUUCGAUGCAACGCGAAGAACCUUACCUGGCCUUGACAUCUGUCGAAUCCUGCAGAGAUGCGGGAGUGCCGCAAGGAACGACAAGACAGGUGCUGCAUGGCUGUCGUCAGCUCGUGUCGUGAGAUGUUGGGUUAAGUCCCGCAACGAGCGCAACCCUUGUCCCUAGUUGCCAGCACGUAAUGGUGGGAACUCUAGGGAGACUGCCGGUGACAAACCGGAGGAAGGUGGGGAUGACGUCAAGUCCUCAUGGCCCUUACGGCCAGGGCUACACACGUACUACAAUGGUCGGUACAGAGGGUUGCGAAGCCGCGAGGUGAAGCCAAUCCCAGAAAACCGAUCCCAGUCCGGAUUGGAGU